rnacentral:rRNA from 1 species
AUAAAAAACCAAUGCCUUCGGGCUCCUUGGUGAUUCAUGAUAACUUAACGAAUCGCAUGGCCUUGCGCCGGCGAUGGUUCAUUCAAAUUUCUGCCCUAUCAACUUUCGAUGGUAGGAUAGUGGCCUACCAUGGUUUCAACGGGUAACGGGGAAUUAGGGUUCGAUUCCGGAGAGGGAGCCUGAGAAACGGCUACCACACCCAAGGAAGGCAGCAGGCGCGCAAAUUACCCAAUCCCAAUUCGGGGGGGUAGUGACAAUAAAUACUGAUACAGGGCUCUUUUGGGUCUUGUAAUUGGAAUGAGUACAAUUUAAAUCCCUUAACGAGGAACAAUUGGAGGGCAAGUCUGGUGCCAGCAGCCGCGGUAAUUCCAGCUCCAAUAGCGUAUAUUAAAGUUGUUGCAGUUAAAAAGCUCGUAGUUGAACCUUGGGUCUGGCUGCCCGGUCCGCCUAACCGCGUGCACUGGUGCGGCCGGAUCUUUCCUUCUGGCUAACCUCAUGCCCUUUACUGGGUGUGCU